CAGGCUGGCUCAAACUCAGAGAUCAGCCUGCCCUUGCCUCCCAUGUGCUGGGAUUAAAGGCAUAUGCCACCAUGGCCUAGCAGGGUAUAAUGGGUUUUAGAUGCUUUGUAGAACAGAAGAACUAUGCCAGGUCUAAAUAGUUUGUGAAGUUCAGCUCAUAUUCUAAAGGUGUAAAGCUUAUUUCAUGUGUUUAAUAGAAAUGUUGAAUUCCCAACCUUUUCUUAAUAAGCUUUAGCUAGAAUGCCCUUUCUUGGCUCUUGGUGAUAUUUGACUGGAUAUUUUGAACUGAUGAUGUGAAAGCAUUUUCAUCUAGAUUCCUCAGUUUUGGUGUGUAUUCACUUCUGGCCACAACAGUGACUAUUUCUGGAUGAAGAUUGGUAGUUAAUAAGAAAAUGGCAGUGAUAGGACCUGCAUUUGGACCAGGCUAUUACCAAGUAUAAACCUAACUAUAACCAGUGUUCAAAAACCCUAAGACAAUUAUGGUGUUUCAUGUCUAAAAGGAUGGGAUGAGCCAGAUACAGCUGAUAGAUUGACCUUAAUUUAGCCUAUCUAGUUCAGGUUUGCUGUAAUCUACUAAUUGCUGUCACUUUCACACUCUAUACCUUUGUUCAAAGGAAACCCUUUUAUUAUGUGUGGAAGGUAAUGUAACCAUUGCAAGUUGAAUGAUUAUUCUAAUGGAAGCCAAGUGGGGAGUGAAGCAUGGGCUUCGUUCUAUGGGUUGGCUGUUUUAGGAAAGGAGAUGAGAUUAUGCCUUUUCAGAAGGAAGGUAGAGGGCUGGAGAAGAUGGUAGGUUUGUGAAGAGGACGUUUGAUUCACCAGUAACUUCAACUUGAUGUUACCUUUGACCUAGUUCUUUGUUUUUGACUUGCUGUAUGGUCAAAAAGAACUGUGUGCAUGCAUGUACACAUGUAUGUGUGUUCUUUAUUUUUGCUUAGAAUAUUCAGUUUUGUUUCAAGAUCAUAGGAGCAACUAUAACUAAAGAUUCCCUUUUCUUCUCCCCUGCCCCCUCCUCUGGACUGGUCUGGAACUUACUCUGUUACCAGGCUAACUGUAAUUCUAGCUUGCCAUCCUUCUGCUUUACCUGCCUAGUGCUGAGAUUACAGUCAUGGCCCACCAAAUUUUCAUGCACAGCUUUUUUAGUUGUACUUUCUUCCUACCUUUUAAUCUCAGGGUCCCUUGGUUAUAGCCAUUGGGCAUGUUUAGUAAAUGGAGGUGGUGGUUUUAGUAGUUAAAUGAGACUAUUAAGUGUUGACUCUAAAUUGGAGAUUUUAGCUAGGCAUGGGGGAGCAGGGCAGGCCCACAAUUUUCAAGACUUAAGAGGCUGAGACAGAAUUGCCUCAAAUUAAUGGCCAGCUUGGACUACAUAACUAGACUUGUUGUAAGUCAUGAAAAAAUAAAUGGGAGUUGCCAGGCCCUGUCCACUUUUCUUUGUGAGGUCCUUCAGAUAUUUCCUAAUUGUCUCUUCAGUGCUGUUAUUGGCCCUUGCAGAAGGUAGGAGAGGCUGGCUAGUUAGUUACACAUAGCAAUAGUCUUUGCAUUGAAGUCCAGAUUAGUAUGUCAGUAGUUAGGGUGUGAUGGCGUACAUCACAUCUUAAGCUAAUGUGCCCUACUGGCUGUUACUCGAAGGCCUGGUUGCUAGCCUGUAGUCAUAGAGAUAUACCAUUGAAAGGGAUGUUGGAACAUGGUCCACUCCUCUUCUGUGUCACUUCUCAGUUUUUACAGGUGAGAACCUUUCCUCCACUCUAUCCUUCCAGGAUAUUCUGCCUUAGCACAGUCCCAAAGUCAAUGGGACCAGGACACCGCCAUGUGGACUAUGACCUCUGAAACUGUAAGCCGAAGUAAAAUGUUCCUCCAUUUAAGUUGUUUGUCUCAAUAUUUUGUCAUAGCAAUGGAAACCUAAAUAUUACAUGCUUAGCACUAAGUCUGAAAAACUGUAUCCAAGCUACCUGGCACUCCCGUAAGCCAAUCAUCAUUUCACAAUACAGCUUAGGAAGUUUGAGCAACACGGUAUAAAAUGUCAAGCUUCAGAGUAGGUUAUAAAGUGAUUAAUCAGAAUUCCCAGUGGAUUAUGACUUCCAUGAAAUUCAAACCGGAUGUGUUAUGAACUGCCAAAAACAUUAGGUUUUAGAUGUUCUUCCCAGUUCUAACUCAAUGAAGAUGGAAUUAAUAACUGAUAGUAAAUAACAUGUUUGUGUUUUCUAAAAACUUAUUUAAAAUGGGCAUGGUACCACAUGGCUGUAAUCCCAGCACUCAGCAGUCAAGGGCAGGUGGAUUCCUGAGUUCAAAGAUAGCUUUGUCUACAUAGUGAGUUUCAGACCACCAAGGUCUACAUAGUGAGGCCUUGUAUUGGUUUGGGGCUGGGGGCAUGAGAUAAGACAUUUAAUAAAUUGGAAAAAAAUGACCUUAGUUUUAUUUUCUGUAAUUGAUGACUGUAGCUGAGUGGCAAUGCUGUGUCUUUAGGUGUUCACAAGGGUCAAAUAUGGACAAAACAAUAAUUUCACAUGUGUAAAGUUAGGUCAUAAAGCUCAUUUGAUUGGGUCAUAAUUCUACUAAGGUCAAGGCUGCAGGUGUCAUUCAUAUGCAGACCAGUAUUAUGCCUUGUUAGAGACCUUCCUGCUAUAACCUGUGACCAUCUGUAGGCUCUGGUUGAGACACAGAAUAACAAAACAUUCAACUUCUCACAAAGAAAAUUCAAAAGACACGGCACCCAAAUUACUGAAAGCAACUCUCAGGCACGUCUAUCUUCAGGAUCAGAUCAUCUUGUUCAAAGAGCCAGGCAACGCCUUGAGCUUCCAGAAGGCAAGCAUGCGCCAUCCUUUUUUGUUCCAAGGAACUCAUUUGAGAGACUGGUCUGAAUAAAAGCAGUAAUUUUCCACACAUUA